CCAGGAGCAGCUGGAGGAGAGGCGGAGAGAGAGAGGGCUCCAUCGGGGAAGGCCUGUGACGGGCUUUCUCUCCCAGAGCGGCAAAUACCAGGGCCCCUUUGUGGAAUGUGGAGCUGCUCAGAGGACAAGUCGCCCUACUGCUUUCUGAGACAAGAUAUUGAUUGAAUUCUGGAGAAGGCAAUACUAUCAAAGGUAGACAAGAUCUAGCUCUGGUUUGUGCUUCAAUUCUGAGUUGCUGCUUCUGAAGAAAUCCUUGUGAUGUCAUCAAUUAAUAAAGGAGCAAUAGGCCCUGGGGAUACAGUGAUGAGUCGAAAGGGAUGAAGGCUUAUAGCAUAAAAGGAGAGACACAUGUCAAUCAACAGUGAUGCUAAUGGAUCCAUGAGCAUAAAUGGAGAGAAAUACUGUAAAGAAAAGAAUCACAGUUUGGUGAGAACCAAAGCAAAGGAACUUGGCCAAAACUGGGAGUCUAGGAAGGCUUCCCAGGCCAAGCGAGGAUCGAGCUAAAGUCUGAAGAACAGGAGGGAGUCUCCGAGGGAAGAGGAGAGGAGAGAGCAAGUUGCAAAGACAGAGAGACAGGC
rnacentral:lncRNA from 1 species